rnacentral:rRNA from 1 species
UACGUAGGGGGCAAGCGUUGUCCGGAAUCAUUGGGCGUAAAGCGCGUGUAGGCGGUCCGAUAAGUUCGCUGUGAAAGCCGGGGGCUUAACCCUCGGAUGCCGGUGAAUACUGUCGGGCUUGAGUACGGAAGAGGCGAGUGGAAUUCCUGGUGUAGCGGUGAAAUGCGCAGAUAUCAGGAGGAACACCAAUUGCGAAGGCAGCUCGCUGGGACGUUACUGACGCUGAGACGCGAAAGCGUGGGGAGCAAACAGG